rnacentral:lncRNA from 1 species
GCACUAUAUAUUUUUAUUUGUGAUAAAUAAUAGCAUAUAAAUUCUAUGCUUUAUAAAUUCAACAUCUUAGAAACAUACUUAACAUGAAAUAACAAAAAUACAAGCAUUUAAAUUGGCGUGCUUCACAAAAUUUUUAUGGAAAAUUAUGAAAUAGAUGAGCAACUUAAAACAUUAAGAUAUGUAAUUUUUUUUAUCUAUAAUGAACAAUAUAUAUAUGUGAAAAUAAUGCUGUAGCUAGACUUUUGAAUCGCUCCAUAAGUGGAUUUAGAAAAGUUUUAUAGUCAAAACAUAAAAUAUUUAUUUCUGAAAUAAUGAAAUAAAUAAAUUUCCAUCAGCUUGCAAUCUUGAGAAGAGCAGACAUUUUUAUAGACAAAAAAAAUAUAAACAUCAAAUUCACAAGUUACAAAAUGUAUAUAAAUAUGUAUACUAUACAUAGCUUUAUAUUUUAUAAUAAUUACACUGAAUAAAAAAUUUGAAUCCUUCAAAGGGAAACAUAUUGAUAGCAAAAUAAAAUAAAACCAAAUUACUAACAUUUGAAAAUUCAUCCCCCAUCUUUCAAAAUCCAAAAAUGUGAUUUUCAUUUGUUUAAAUUUGAAUUUAAGAUACUGUGGAUUCCAAUUUUCGUGGGUUUCUUGAGUUUAGGUGAACCACAAAAUCAAAUUUACAAUGAAAUACAUAUUUUUAAUAGGUUUUGUACACAGAGAUUGUCAAAACCAUGAAAUCAAAUAUCCACGAAUAUGCAAGUUUUCAGCAAUCCACGAAAAUUGAUACCAACAACAAUAAACGAAUCUACAGUAUAACAAAGUAGAUUCAGAGUGAGUGUAAUUUCCCCAUUAAUAAUAGAUAGAUAUAGUUAGUUCAAGACAGUAAUAAAUAAUUUAAGACAACUUUUCAUUUUAUUUCAAGUGUACCCCUUUGUAUGUGAUUAUACUGCCUGUAUCUGUAGUAGAUGCUAUACUAUAAGCAUAGAUGCUUAAACCCCUAUGCUAUUAUGGAAUGAUAAAUAAAAGAAGGAAAAAAUAUCAAAUUAAAUGCAUUCAAGAAAAAAAAACUAUGAAUGUAACAAGAAUUAUGUGACAAAAAACAUUUUCUUCACAAUACCAAAUCCUUAGCAAAUCUUUCUAACUUGUUGAAAUACCUUAAACUCUUUAAUGAGUAAUGAAUGAAUGCAGAUUGUGACCAGUUAUAUAAAAAAAAGUUAUUAGUGAAAUGAAAGAACCUUUGUUUGUUUGACUGGUUUUCUAUUUUUCCAUCUUCUGUUUUAAAUACCUUUCAGCACUUUUUGGUAUUGUCAUUAAGAUACAACCACACCUUAAAUAAGUUUGAAAGGUAAAUUUUCAUUGGCUCAUGUAAUAAUUACCAGAACAGAAAGUAGAAUUGACAUGUUCAGAUCCCAUCGACCCAGGAUCUGUAUUUCAAAUCAGAUAGUCUUUUUAAGUAUAUUGACCAUAGGUCUGGACAAACAAAAGGUCAAGGGAACCUUUGAAACUGUUACUUAUCAACCAUUAAUUACAUUUGGAGGAACAACUUCCAUUCCAAGUAUAAAUGAAUAAUAGAAUAGGCUCUCAUGUUUGUAUGUCAAAUACGGACAAUGUUUAAUUGGCAAAAAAACAACAACAAAAAAACCCAAAAAGUUUAAAAAAAAAAGACCUGCCCUCCUUUCCCCCCUUAUUAUGUAAGUUAAAGACAGUAACCCUAAAACAUGAUCUGAUAUCAUCAUAUCCAUGUGCCAAUGGUGAGCUAACUUAAAUAAGCAUUAGGCUAUAAUUAGCCAUAUGAUUAAUUGAAGAUCAAAACAGGAAAGUUCAAUGCAAAUCAAAAUGUCAUGACUUCUUUAAACACUGGGGAAUUUUUGAAACAAUAUUAUUAAUCUAGGAAAUUUCUUUGAAAGAUUUAAAUAAGUUUUUAUGGGUUUUACAACAUUGUUACAUUACAUUAGUCCAAGUGUCAGCAAAACCUAUUUGAAAACAUGUUAUUUAUAUAUUUGAUCACCAGUUUGUUGCUAUAUGUUAAAGAUAUAUCCCUACUUGGAAAUUCAAUUUCUCAAAAGUUAUUAACUUGCAAUUCUGAAUACUUGUGAUAUUCUUUACAUAGAAAGAUAAAACUGGCCUUUGUAUAUCCCAAUUUGAUUUAAUUUAUAAUCUUGGGAGUUUGAAUGUUUAUUUGAUGGUUUAGCAGAUCUACAAACGAUUACUGGUACAUGUAUCAUGAUGUUAUGGCUGUGACAACCUUGGUUUUGAGCUUCAUCAUACAAAAAGGUGUAUAAAUGAUAAUUUUGAUGAGUACCAUUUCACUUAAAAUGUUGAUAAUAGAUGUUGAUUAAAAACAAAUAAAGUGUCAUCAUGACAAUGUAAUUUGUGUCUAUGAUGGCUGCAUAGGUCUGAUUUUAAAUGUGAAUAUUGUAAUGAUUACUGGUCUUCUUGUUAUCCUAAUUAUUUCUUCAUCAUUUUAUUUAACUGUUGUCAUUUCACCUAAAAGUAGGAAGCCAAGUUAAUUGUAUAAACAUUAUUAUACAAUGACAUAAAUUAAACUUUUUAUCCUUCAACUAACUGCAAUAUUUUGGUUUUAUUGAACAUAAAUAUUGUUGUUUUUAAAAAAAAAACCAUAUUUAUCUUAAUCUGUUCAAUCAUGUAAUAAUAUAAACAGAAACUAGUGAAAAUAAAAUAGUUAACCUAUCCAUCUACCAAGCUUAGUGACAAAAGGCAAGCAGAUCUAAACUUCUUGCCACAAAUAAGUAAAAUAACAAACUUAUCACUCACUAUGGUUGAUUUUUACACUUGAAAGGGUUCAUUAUUACAUUAAGGGCAUACGAUACAGUUACAGUGAAGGUAAUGACGUUGCUAACGUAAAAUGUUAUUUUCGCACGUCAAACUCUGACAUAUCGGGAAAAGAUGCAUUUUUCGACUGAUUUUUAUCAUUCAACCUGAUUUAAUUUGAAAACGAGUGCAUGGACCCCUAUUAUUUAAAACAGC